rnacentral:rRNA from 1 species
UAGGGAAUCUUCCGCAAUGGACGCAAGUCUGACGGAGCAACGCCGCGUGAGUGAAGAAGGAUUUCGGUUCGUAAAACUCUGUUGUUAGAGAAGAACAGCGCAUAGAGUAACUGUUAUGCGUGUGACGGUAUCUAACCAGAAAGCCACGGCUAACUACGUGCCAGCAGCCGCGGUAAUACGUAGGUGGCAAGCGUUGUCCGGCUUUAUUGGGCGUAAAGCGAGCGCAGGCGGUCAAUUAAGUCUGAUGUGAAAGCCCCCGGCUCAACCGGGGAGGGUCAUUGGAAACUGGUUGACUUGAGUGCAGAAGAGGAGAGUGGAAGUCCAGGUGUAGCGGUGAAAUGCGUAGAUAGAUGGAGGAACACCAGUGGCGAAGGCGACUCUCUGGUCUGUAACUGACGCUGAGGCUCGAAAGCGUGGGUAGCAAACAGG